AAUAUUGGACAAUGGGCGAAAGCCUGAUCCAGCAAUGCCGCGUGAGUGAUGAAGGCCUUAGGGUUGUAAAGCUCUUUUACCCGGGAUGAUAAUGACAGUACCGGGAGAAUAAGCUCCGGCUAACUCCGUGCCAGCAGCCGCGGUAAUACGGAGGGAGCUAGCGUUGUUCGGAAUUACUGGGCGUAAAGCGCACGUAGGCGGCUAUUCAAGUCAGAGGUGAAAGCCCGGGGCUCAACCCCGGAACUGCCUUUGAAACUAGAUAGCUUGAAUCCAGGAGAGGUGAGUGGAAUUCCGAGUGUAGAGGUGAAAUUCGUAGAUAUUCGGAAGAACACCAGUGGCGAAGGCGGCUCACUGGACUGGUAUUGACGCUGAGGUGCGAAAGCGUGGGGAGCAA
rnacentral:rRNA from 1 species